rnacentral:rRNA from 1 species
GACGGAGGGCGCAAGCGUUGUUCGGAAUUACUGGGCGUAAAGCGCGGGCAGGUGGCCUGUUAAGUCUUCUGUGAAAGCCCGGGGCUCAACUCCGGGACUGCAGAAGAUACUGGCAGGCUAGAGAACAGUAGAGGCUAGCGGAAUUCCUGGUGUAGCGGUGGAAUGCGUAGAUAUCAGGAAGAACACCUGUGGCGAAGGCGGCUAGCUGGGCUGGUUCUGACACUCAUCCGCGAAAGCGUGGCGAGCAAACAGG